AACGAACGCUGGCGGCAGGCUUAACACAUGCAAGUCGAACGGAUCCUUCGGGAUUAGUGGCAGACGGGUGAGUAACGCGUGGGAACGUACCCUUUGCUACGGAAUAACUCAGGGAAACUUGAGCUAAUACCGUAUGUGCCCUACGGGGGAAAGAUUUAUCGGCACAGGAUCGGCCCGCGUUGGAUUAGCUCGUUGGUGGGGUAAUGGCCUACCAAGGCGACGAUCCAUAGCUGGUCUGAGAGGCUGGUCAGCCACACUAGGACUGAGACACGGCCCAGACUCCUACGGGAGGCAGCAGUGGGGAAUAUUGGACAAUGGGCGCAAGCCUGAUCCAGCCAUGCCGCGUGAGUGAUGAAGGUCUUAGGAUUGUAAAGCUCUUUCACCGGUGAAGAUAAUGACGGUAGCCGGAGAAGAAGCCACGGCUAACUUCGUG
rnacentral:rRNA from 1 species